rnacentral:rRNA from 1 species
GACGAACGCUGGCGGCGUGCCUAACACAUGCAAGUCGAACGGAAAGGCCCUGCUUUUGUGGGGUGCUCGAGUGGCGAACGGGUGAGUAACACGUGAGUAACCUGCCCUUGACUUUGGGAUAACUUCAGGAAACUGGGGCUAAUACCGGAUAGGAGCUCCUGAUGCAUGGGGGGGGUUGGAAAAUUUCGGCGGUUGGGGAUGGACUCGCGGCUUAUCAGCUUGUUGGGGGGGUAGUGGCUUACCAAGGCUUUGACGGGUAGCCGGCCUGAGAGGGUGACCGGCCACAUUGGGACUGAGAUACGGCCCAGACUCCUACGGGAGGCAGCAGUGGGGAAUAUUGCACAAUGGGCGGAAGCCUGAUGCAGCAACGCCGCGUGCGGGAUGACGGCCUUCGGGUUGUAAACCGCUUUCGCAUGUGACGAAGCGUGAGUGACGGUAAUGGGUAAAGAAGCACCGGCUAACUACGUG